rnacentral:rRNA from 1 species
CAGCAGUGGGGAAUUUUGGACAAUGGGCGCAAGCCUGAUCCAGCAAUGCCGCGUGCAGGAAGAAGGCCUUCGGGUUGUAAACUGCUUUUGUACGGAACGAAACGGUCCUGGUUAAUACCUGGGGYUAAUGACGGUACCGUAAGAAUAAGCACCGGCUAACUACGUGCCAGCAGCCGCGGUAAUACGUAGGGUGCGAGCGUUAAUCGGAAUUACUGGGCGUAAAGCGUGCGCAGGCGGUGCUGUAAGACAGGCGUGAAAUCCCCGGGCUCAACCUGGGAAUUGCGCUUGUGACUGCAGUGCUGGAGUACGGCAGAGGGGGAUGGAAUUCCGCGUGUAGCAGUGAAAUGCGUAGAUAUGCGGAGGAACACCGAUGGCGAAGGCAGUCCCCUGGGCCUGUACUGACGCUCAUGCACGAAAGCGUGGGGAGCAAACAGGAUUAGAUACCCUGGUAGUCCACGCCCUAAACGAUGUCAACUGGUUGUUGGGAAUUUACUUUCUCAGUAACGAAGCUAACGCGUGAAGUGACCGCCU